rnacentral:lncRNA from 1 species
AAAGAGUAUGAUAAGAAAAGACUCCACUAUUCUAGAGAAAAUUAAGGAAUGCAAAAAUAGAAGACAACUGGAAACCCAGAAAAAACGUACAAUAAAAUAAGUAAAUAUGAGUACUUGGCUUUGAAAUAUAAAAUAGUCAUAAUAAUACAAACACAUUUGUAGAUUUUCAGCUUUUUGAAUGAAUUCAUAGAAAAAAAAUAAAGACAAGUUGAUGGGUGCAGCACACCAACAUGGCACAUGUAUACAUAUGUAACAAACCUGCACAUUGUGCACAUGUACCCUAAAACUUAAAAGUAUAAUUAAAAAAAAAGCAUAAAGUUAAUUUUAAUCAAUACAAAUAUCUAAGAUGUAAAAGUAAACAUAAAUAUGGUUGAAUUUAGUUUCUUUAGCAAUGAGGGAGAUAAAGGUAGAUUUAAUUCAUUAGAGCAAGAACAGUCUUAGUUUUGAAGUGAACAUUUUUCUCAUGUGCUUUAAUUGUUAUCCAAAAUAACUACUUUUUAAGAAUAUCAGGUAGGAAAAAAAUCAGAAAUUAAAAUGUUGCUUCUAUCCUUAUUAGCUUUCUCAUGUAAAUGUGAAACUCAUGGGUUAUUUCUCAAAAGUUAAAAAUUACUCAACUAUUUUAUAGGAGGUAUUCUCAUUCUUUAAUUGGCCAAUGUUAGGUUUUAAAAGGCUUGAGUGAAA